AGCUUGGCUGGCCCCUGGGGCACAGCUCUGGGGCUUGUCAGAGGGAGUUAGCCUCACAAUAGCCUGCCUGGGUCCCAUCCAGCAGGCCUGGCUGGCCCUGCCACUGGCCACCAGGAGUCUGAGUAGAGUCCAGUCCAAGCCAGCCCUAGGCCAUGGGAUUUAGAGUGCAGAGCCUCUUGAAACAUGGACUGCUGGGGUCCUAGGAAAGGAGGGGGACCAUGAAUAGUGGAGCUGACUGCUAGGGAGCCAACCCAGUUGCAAGGCGAGGAGAGGGAGUCCUGAGCGCUGAUCUAGAAACUCAAGCAGGUACCCCUUACCCAGCCUAGGGGAACACUGAGGGAAGAAGGCUGCAUUCUUGGGCACCCGGGCUCAGCCGCUGGAUACCUGGAACUCCGGGAGAUUCCAAACACUGUUCAGGGGCCAGGGUAGGGUCACACCUGCCCAGGUCUUCCAAUGAGGAUCCAGAAGAGACCAACAGCUCCAGUCUGUACAACAAGAUGAGACUGAAGUUCAGAGAGAGUAGGUGACUUGCUCAGAGUGACACAGCAGGAAGUGCUGAGCCGGGAACUGGAGCUGCCGCCCAGCCCUCAUCACUGGCAUCCUUCGGUUCUCAGCUUAGAUGGUGCCAUCACAGAUUCCCGGAAUGUCAGCACUGUGAGAGACGUCAGAGAUCAUCCAGCCCAGCCCCUCGUCUGGCAGAGGAGGAUGCCCAGGGCAGUGGUAUGUCCAAGGUCACACCUUGGCUUGGAGCCCAACUCCAGGGUUCUUUUCAGGGCCAUCUGUAGUUCACUCUACUCGCCUCCCAGGCGCUUAUCUAAGUGUGAAUUUGCAGCCUGCAGUCCCUCAUGCCGCCUGGACCACCUCAGCUCCAGUGGAGACAUCUGCCCUCCCAGGCAAUCUUGAAGGCAGAGGUGAGGGUGUGGAUGUGAGUCUGGGGCAAGCUGGGGAUCAGCUGCACGCAGAGGACAAAACAGCCCAGUGGGUACCUAGUGAUGAAUCUUUCCCUGCCUGGUCACAGACAGACCCGUAGAACAAAAUCCCACUCCCCUUAACAGCCCAUUAAAGUGAUGCAGUAGGUCAUCCAGGGAUUUACCUAGAGCAGAGUUUUAACUCUAAUUGACAGUGAUUGCAUCUGCCUGCCCGGCGAGCCUUCUCCCUUCUGGUAACUGCACAAUUCUUUGCUUUAUGGGAAUGGGCCCCCACCUCCAAGGGCUCAUGGGGGCUGCCAAUCAGAGGACCCUCAGGCUGGGCAUGUGACCCAAACCCAAUCUGGUUAGAGGUCCAAGGGUGGUCAUGUGACCCAAAUAGUCCUUUUGAAGAAUGUGAUGCUUGCUCAGGAAGAGGCUUGUCGCUCUUUUCUCUGAAGCAAGCUGUGGGAUGGUAACAGCAGCUAGCUUUGCCACCAGGAGGAGGAAGCCUGCCUGAGAAAGAAGCCACACAAUGAGAAAGAGGGCCCCAGAUGACAGUAUACUGAUGCCACUGUUGACAAAUGUCUGGGUGCACACACGCCUGAAGCCCAGCUCAA
ensembl:lncRNA